rnacentral:ncRNA from 1 species
UGUCGGAGUGCUUAGUACUUUUAUAGUACGAGCUGAGACCGCAUUGCGGGAUCCGUAGAACCUGAUCAGGCUAAUACCUGCGAAGGGAACAAGAGAUAAUU